rnacentral:rRNA from 1 species
UACGAAGGGGGCUAGCGUUGCUCGGAAUCACUGGGCGUAAAGCGCACGUAGGCGGAUUGUUAAGUCAGGGGUGAAAUCCUGGAGCUCAACUCCAGAACUGCCUUUGAUACUGGCGAUCUUGAGUCCGGGAGAGGUGAGUGGAACUCCGAGUGUAGAGGUGAAAUUCGUAGAUAUUCGGAAGAACACCAGUGGCGAAGGGCGACUUACUGGACACAUAUUGACGCUGAGGUGCGAAAGCGAUGGG